rnacentral:rRNA from 1 species
AGCGAACGCUGGCGGCAGGCCUAACACAUGCAAGUCGAGCGCCCAGCAAUGGGAGCGGCAGACGGGUGAGUAACGCGUGGGGAUGUGCCCAAUGGUGCGGAAUAACCCAGGGAAACUUGGAUUAAUACCGCAUGUGCCCUUCGGGGGAAAGAUUUAUCGCCAUUGGAUCAACCCGCGUCUGAUUAGCUAGUUGGUGAGGUAAAGGCUCACCAAGGCGACUAUCAGUAGCUGGUCUGAGAGGAUGAUCAGCCACACUGGGACUGAGACACGGCCCAGACUCCUACGGGAGGCAGCAGUGGGGAAUAUUGGACAAUGGGCGCAAGCCUGAUCCAGCCAUGCCGCGUGAGUGAUGAAGGCCUUAGGGUUGUAAAGCUCUUUCGCCGGUGAAGAUAAUGACGGUAACCGGAGAAGAAGCCCCGGCUAACUUCGUGCCAGCCGCCGCCGUAAGAC